CAUCGCUUGACGGAGCGCGAGUAAUUGCUCGCUGAGAUCAGCUAAGACUUUUCAAUAAAGUUUUGAAGCUGAGUACCGUUGAACCUGAUCAGGUUAAGACCUGCGUAGGAAUCAAGCCAUCUAAAAAC
rfam:Cajanus cajan Scaffold110526_1, whole genome shotgun sequence.